AAAACACUGUCAUAGAGAGAAUCUAUCUAGUGGAUAGUUGUGUUGUCAGCCGCGCGAUUCAAAUCGUGCGCCAAGGCAAGGCAAUAAGGAUUUGGUGAGCCGGUGAAUGGUUUGAUAACAAGCAGUGGAAGGAAGGUACAGGGGAGACGCACAUUGCCCGUCGGUUGGUGGACCAUUCAGUGACGCGAUUCUUCACUGUCCGGCACUGAUUUCAAUUGGUAAAUUGAUUUGGAACGAUGGCAAGAGAGAAAAAAGAGAGAAAGACUGAGUUAGACGGGAGAGGUUCGGAGACCAGUAUGUAGGAGAUGAUAAAGAAAGAACCAUAUACCAUUACCGUGACUGGGUGUACCGUCACAGAAAACCAUAGCGGUGGCAGUGGCAGUGCCUCUCUUGCGAACCGUUAAUAGGUACUGAACGCUGGUUGAAUGCUUAAUGCACCGUGCUUCUAGGAUUAAAUUGACCAAUCAUUUCCCGCGCGGCAAGGAGCGGCCAAUUACAGCGCUCGUCCGACUAUAUUAAGCCAAUCAAGAACAGUUUAUCGCUCAGUCGUCAGUCUGCAGUUGUGAUGCGUGUGUCGUGCGCGUGUUUUUUUUCCCUUUCCAAACAAUUCUAACUCGUGAAAUAAAUGAAUCGCGUGAGAAAAAUAUGAACAUUUGUCAUGAAUUACUCGAGAUCGUUUAUCAAUUUUAAUAAUCGUUCAGUGAAUUAGAUCACAUUCUUCCACUUAUUCUCUAUGGCGUGGCGGAUUUUAGAGAAUGUUUGAAAUUCUGAUCAAAUCGAACGAAUCACAGUUUCUUUAUAGAAAGAAUUUUUUAUUAUUGAUAUAAUUAUUCGACGAACAUGUGGGAAAGAAUUGUGCAAGAGCGCAAGAAAAGCACGUGAAAAAGCAUAAAACAACAUGCAUUAUUUUACUCUAUGUAUAUACAUUCCAUUCAUAUUCAUUUCUGGUGACGGUUCGUAUUUCGAUCCUUGGAGAUCGUUUCUUGUGAUUACCGUGCAUUUCUCUCUUCAUCAACUAUUUAUUAAUCAGUUGAACUUUAAAUAUUUUUUCGGAAUCUAUUUGAAAUGAGAGUGUGGUGUUACUAUAAGAUUUUCAAAAUAUUCCAACGUUAUUCGAAGAUCAUAAUAAACAUCAGAUGACUGGAGACUAUAAUAUUAAUAAGUGUGAAAGAAUAUCAAUGGACGCUAGUGUCAAAUAGAAGUUAAAGACUUUUCCUCGAGAAUAUUUUCCGUGCUCGGCUUACAACAUCUGAAAAACGAGAUCACAUGUGACCACACACAUAAUAACCUCGCAAAGUAUCGUUUUAACCUGACACUUGAUGAAAUACAUAUAGAAGUCUCGAGAAGAAGCAAAAAGAAAGAGAAAACCAAUAUAAGAUCCCUCGUGAAAUCACACAAAUGAUAAAAGACCAAAUGUUCGCGAUUUUCUCAUUGAGAAAUAAGAGAAUUGAAUCUGUGUUCGAAAUGUGAUGAUUUCUACGAGAUGAAACAUUGUAAUUGGAAACAUUUUAAAUUGUAAUGGCACGCAUUGCGUGGCUAAGCUUUAUCGUCACGACUUCUUGACCCCUCUUAAAUGAUAGUAUAAAGUACGAAAGAACACGAGUUGAAGAAAAUCAUUAAGUUCUAGAAUCUAAAUAUCGACGAAAGCAAACUUAUGUAAAAGUUAUAAAGGUAGAGAUGGAAUAAAAUUUUUGUUUAAUUUCUUUCUAUAUUAUUGCAAUAUUUUGUUUGAAAAUGACGCAAUAUUUAUGUAUCAAAAGUUAUAAUCCUACAAGCAGUUACGGAAAAAUCGUAAAGUACUUCUUCGUUUUCAACGCACUGUUCUUAAAAUAGAACAUUUUCGGUUGCAGAACCGAAACAGAGACCACGAGUCUCGAGGCUUCGCGAAUUUUUAUAGAGAAUCACAGUAA